CGAACGGAGCACCCCUGAAGGAGUUUUCGGACAACUGAAGGGAAUGCUUAGUGGCGGACGGGUGAGUAACGCGUGAGUAACCUGCCUUGGAGUGGGGAAUAACAGUUGGAAGCAGCUGCUAAUACCGCAUGAUGUAGUUGAGUCGCAUGGCUCUGACUGCCAAAGAUUUAUCGCUCUGAGAUGGACUCGCGUCUGAUUAGCUAGUUGGCGGGGUAACGGCCCACCAAGGCGACGAUCAGUAGCCGGACUGAGAGGUUGGCCGGCCACAUUGGGACUGAGACACGGCCCAGACUCCUACGGGAGGCAGCAGUGGGGAAUAUUGGGCAAUGGGCGCAAGCCUGACCCAGCAACGCCGCGUGAAGGAAGAAGGCUUUCGGGUUGUAAACUUCUUUUCUCAGGGACGAAGAAAGUGACGGUACCUGAGGAAUAAGCCACGGCUAACUACGUGCCAGCAGCCGCGGUAAUACGUAGGUGGCAAGCGUUAUCCGGAUUUACUGGGUGUAAAGGGCGUGUAGGCGGGAGUGCAAGUCAGAUGUGAAAACCACGGGCUCAACCUGUGGCCUGCAUUUGAAACUGUACUUCUUGAGUACUGGAGAGGCAGACGGAAUUCCUAGUGUAGCGGUGAAAUGCGUAGAUAUUAGGAGGAACACCAGUGGCGAAAGCGGUCCGCUGGACACCAACUGACGCUGAGGCGCCGAAAGCGUGGGGAGCAAACAGGAUUAGAUACCCUGGUAGUCCACGCUGUAAACGAUGGAUACUAGGUGUGGGGGGACUGACCCCCUCCGUGCCGCAGUUAACACAAUAAGUAUCCCACCUGGGGAGUACGAUCGCAAGGUUGAAACUCAAAGGAAUUGACGGGGGCCCGCACAAGCGGUGGAGUAUGUGGUUUAAUUCGAGGCAACGCGAAGAACCUUACCAGGGCUUGACAUCCCGAGGCCAGACCUAGAGAUAGGCCCUUCUCUUCGGAGACCUCGGUGACAGGUGGUGCAUGGUUGUCGUCAGCUCGUGUCGUGAGAUGUUGGGUUAAGUCCCGCAACGAGCGCAACCCUUAUUGUUAGUUGCUACGCAAGAGCACUCUAGCGAGACUGCCGUUGACAAAACGGAGGAAGGUGGGGACGACGUCAAAUCAUCAUGCCCCUUAUGUCCUGGGCCACACACGUACUACAAUGGUGGUCAACAGAGGGAAGCAAAACCGCGAGGUGGAGCAAAUCCCUAAAAGCCAUCCCAGUUCGGAUCGCAGGCUGCAACCCGCCUGCGUGAAGUUGGAAUCGCUAGUAA
rnacentral:rRNA from 1 species